UUGGAGGGCAAGUCUGGUGCCAGCAGCCGCGGUAAUUCCAGCUCCAAUAGCGUAUAUUAAAGUUGUUGCAGUUAAAAAGCUCGUAGUUGAAUUUCGAGAUCAGUACGCUGGUCGUGCCUUCGGUAUGCACUGGUGUCACUGGUUUCUCCCUUCUGAAGAACCGUCAUGUCAUUAAGUUGGUGUGGCGGGGAAUCAGGACUGUUACUUUGAAAGAAUUAGAGUGUUUAAAGCAGGCUCGCGCUUGAAUACAUUAGCAUGGAAUAAUGAAAUAGGACGUUUGACCCUAUUUUGUUGGUUUCUAGGAUCGACGUAAUGAUUAAUAGGGAUAGUUGGGGGCAUUAGUAUUCAAUUGUCAGAGGUGAAAUUCUUGGAUUUAUUGAAGACUAACUACUGCGAAAGCAUUUGCCAAGGAUGUUUUCAUUAAUCAAGAACGAAAGUUAGGGGAUCGAAGACGAUCAGAUACUGUCGUAGUCUUAACCAUAACCUAUGCCGACUAGGGAUCGGAUGAUGUUAAUUUUUUAAUGACUCAUUCGGCGCCUUACGGGAAAC
rnacentral:rRNA from 1 species